UACGUAGGGUGCGAGCGUUAAUCGGAAUUACUGGGCGUAAAGCGUGCGCAGGCGGUUGUGCAAGACAGGUGUGAAAUCCCCGGGCUUAACCUGGGAACUGCGCUUCUAACUGGCAGGCUUGAGUGUGGCAGAGGGGAGUGGAAUUCCACGUGUAGCAGUGAAAUGCGUAGAGAUGUGGAGGAACACCGAUGGCGAAGGCAGCCCCCUGGGCUAACACUGACGCUCAUGCACGAAAGCGUGGGGAGCAAACAGG
rnacentral:rRNA from 1 species